UUUUGUGGGGUGCUCGAGUGGCGAACGGGUGAGUAACACGUGAGUAACCUGCCCUUGACUUUGGGAUAACUUCAGGAAACUGGGGCUAAUACCGGAUAGGAGCUCCUGCCGCAUGGUGGGGGUUGGAAAGUUUCGGCGGUUGGGGAUGGACUCGCGGCUUAUCAGCUUGUUGGUGGGGUAGUGGCUUACCAAGGCUUUGACGGGUAGCCGGCCUGAGAGGGUGACCGGCCACAUUGGGACUGAGAUACGGCCCAG
rnacentral:rRNA from 1 species